rnacentral:rRNA from 1 species
UACGGGGGGGGCAAGCGUUGUUCGGAAUUACUGGGCGUAAAGGGCUCGUAGGCGGCCAACUCAGUCAGACGUGAAAUCCCUCGGCUCAACCGGGGAACUGCGUCUGAUACUGGUGGGCUGGAAUCCGGGAGAGGGACGUGGAAUUCCAGGUGUAGCGGUGAAAUGCGUAGAUAUCUGGAGGAACACCGGUGGCGAAGGCGGCGUCCUGGACCGGUAUUGACGCUGAGGAGUGAAAGCCAGGGGAGCAAACGGG